AACUCCAGAAGCCAGAGUGAGUAAGAAAUCUUGGCUGAUAUAUAAGAAAUUUGACUUAACCUGAGAGGCUCAUAUUACAAAGGGAUGGUCACAGCUGUGUGGGCAUGCCACAAUCUAAAGGCUUUACAAGACUGGAUGUGAUAAAAAUGGAACUUGAACAUUAAAAAUGACUUUCACAGAAACUAGCUCAAUACAGCUUACUGCCUUUCAGUAAACAUUAUAUGCUUUCAAUUUUUAGAGAUUCUGAUCAACCUAGAUGCCAAAACCUACAUGGUGUGCUUUGUAUUAUGGACUGCCCUCAUAUGGGGUUCCAGGCACCUUCCUGUACUAAGUGGUCUAUCAAUAUGCUGGUGAUGAUGGGGCAGAACAGCUACAGUCUGCUGAAUGCACUCAACUCUGCAACGCAGGAGACUUGGGUUACAGUCUCUUCUAACACUACUAUCAACACAUAGCUUCACUCAAUGUAUUUGGCACGGACAGCAAAAUGCCAUCAGUGCUGGUACCUGACUUGAUUCAGAGGAGAGGAGAUUUCACAGAGAAAGCACCACUACUGAAAAGGCCUUUCAGUGGACACAGUUGUAACAAUUGAAAUUGCCCUGCAGCCUUCUCAUUCCCCAGUGAGACAAUGUUUGGACCGCUCAGUUCACAUCUUUAAAAGGACAGUUGAUGGAAGAUGGCCUUGUUGAGGAGUAGAAAAGUCCAGCUGCAGCAGAUUCUGAGAUGACAUUCACCGGCCUCCCACUGUCAAGAUCCUUCCCACAGGGCAGUUGGUGGUAGAGAUACAUGAUCCUAUGAAUGGUACCAUCAACUUGCAUGUACCACUUUCAAGUGACCAAGGCAGCAGAGAGAGAUAAACACACCCACGGAUAAUAAAUUUCUGAAUUGAAGCACUUACUUCCAAACAUUGGCAUGUUUUACCCCUAGAAUUACUAUUACACUUUUAAGACAUUGUAGUGCCCCACCUUUAAUUCAUUUACUUAGGAGAAAAUGCUAUGUUAAUGCUUAAAAUUAACUAUGCUUGGGAUCAUUACUGAAGUGCUAUUUUAUGAAAUAGUGCUGGGAUUAGAAUUGUCCUAUUGGUCAAUGAACAUCAUUACUAAUGCAAGCACAAAAGUGCUUUCCCUGUGUGGCUGUAAGGUCCAGCAUGUGGAAACAUUUACGGUUUCCCCGGUGAUUUUGGAAAUCAUCUGGCAUCACAUCAGUUCCACUUUGGUUUUAUGAUUGCAGUGUGUCCCACAGUGUGAAAAACAUGUUACUUAUGACAAUGCAGUGUGAAGGCAUGCCAUUUAAAAUAAUAUCCUCAUUAGAAUGCAGAUGCUUGCUUCCUGCUUUCUGUUGAAAAAUGUUAACAAAAUGUGGACCACUGCCCCUUUCCCGUUGUAAUAUCCUGCUUUACCUGCCUUUAAUCUGAAGCUGUUUUUAGUUUAGGAGUGGGAGGUUUGGGGUUAUUUUAAAUGAGGGAAGGAAUCUCAUUAUACUGCCAGAGAAAAAGACUAUUACUGAAAAUUAAUGAUAAUGAACCAAAGGCAUUAAGCUAUCAGCUGUCUGAACAGCUAAGAUACUGACACAUUUUAACAUCAAAGCUGAGACUAAAUUAUCCCUAUUAUUGCUAGGUAAUAAAGUAAUAUAUUCUGUGCAUCUGUCUUAGCUGAGGAAUUAUGCACCUCCCCAACUUUAUCUGUUCUCCCCAUGCCAGUGGGAUAUGCUAGCUAGAACAAUCUGACUAGUUUAAAAUUCACAUAACUCUUUUCUUGCUAAAUAUAUUAAAUUUGUAAGCAAUGUAUAUUUAUAAAAUUCUUUUGCAGAAGUAAUUAUCCAGAUUAAUAUAUUUUUGUCCACAGUGACAGUGAAAGGCGUCCAGACCUUUAUGUGGCUGUACUUGGAAACCACUGAGGUUGGCAGUGAGCCUCAAACCCUGGGAUACCGUAACACACACACACAAAAAGCCCCUCGUCCCAUUAUUUUUUAUUUGAUCUAUAUAUUCUAGGCAUUUAUAUGCCUAUAAACAAGUUCUCUGGGCAGCAAACAUGGAUGAAAGAAAAUCAAAAUUCAUGCCAUAAAGUAGUCCAAUAAUAAAAUGUAUAAAAGCAGAAUAAACUGGUAAUGAUAAAGCUGAUGAGAUCUAAAGCAGAUUAAAAGGCGGGGGAAAUUAAAAUAAGAUAUUUUCCUGGUGCCAAAUUAACAUCAAGGUGGGCACUACCAGGUGAGCCUCUCUAGGAAGGGUAUUCCAGAGCCGGGAUUCCAGAAGGCCCUUUCCCUAGUAGCCACCUAUGACACCUCAUCCAGAGGGGCACCCAAGGAAGGGUAUCAUAAGAAUAUAUCAAGGUAUGAAUAGGUACAUAUGGAGAUAGCAGCCCAUUCAGUACACCCUGAAUGUCCUCAUUCAGUGCACCAGAGAAGGACGUCUCCAAUGAUGGUGUUCCUGCUCAGCAUGCUUCUCAUGUGCCCUUUGUUCAGAGGAACAUCUCAUAUCUAGAUUCAUUUUGUUGAGAGCAGAGGCCAGACAUUAUGCCUGUUGUGCACAAUGCAAAUGAUGUCAAAAAUGACAAAUUGUUUCCUGCCCUGUAACAUUUAGGAAACCUCACAACCUGAUUCAGGAUCAUAGUGUCAGUUUUCUCACUCAUGAUUGCACAGCACUGACAUGAAAUGAGGUUGGGAAAUGUUAUAAAGUGUUGGUGGUGGGUCUUGGGUUAGGCAUUUUCUAUUUUUAAAAUUAUUAUUACUUAUUUAUUUUUAUUUAAAUUUGUCAUAAUUGUAUACUGAAUACACCAUAAAUUCUGAAACAAAACAAAACAAAGCAUAUUACAAUAAAUCCAGAAAU